CCUACGGGUGGCAGCAGUGGGGAAUAUUGGUCAAUGGACGCAAGUCUGAACCAGCCAUGCCGCGUGCAGGAAGACGGCUCUAUGAGUUGUAAACUGCUUUUGUACGAGGGUAAAUCCCGAUACGUGUAUCGGGUUGAAAGUAUCGUACGAAUAAGGAUCGGCUAACUCCGUGCCAGCAGCCGCGGUAAUACGGAGGAUUCAAGCGUUAUCCGGAUUUAUUGGGUGUAAAGGGAGCGUAGGCGGUGCAAUAAGUUAGAGGUGAAAUCCCGGGGCUCAACUCCGGGACUGCCUUUGAUACUGUCGGGCUAGAGUGUAGGAGAGGUAGGCGGAAUGUAUGGUGUAGCGGUGAAAUGCAUAGAGAUCAUACAGAACACCAGUUGCGAAGGCAGCUUACUGAACUAUGACUGACGUUGAGGCACGAAAGCGUGGGGAGCAAACAGGAUUAGAUACCCGAGUAGUC
rnacentral:rRNA from 1 species